rnacentral:rRNA from 1 species
UACGACUACAUAUCAGGCAUAUCAAUAAGCGGAGGAAAAGAAACUAACUAAGGAUUCCCUCAGUAACGGCGAGUGAAGCGGGAAGAGCUCAAAUUUGAAAUCUUCAAGGUUCUACCUUGACGAAUUGUAGUUUAAAGAAGUGUUUUCUGUUGAAGUUUUGGUAAAAGUUCUUUGGAAUAGGACAUCAUAGAGGGUGAGAAUCCCGUAUUUGACCAUUAUUUUCCAGCUGUGUGAUACACUUUCAAAGAGUCGGAUUGUUUGGGAAUGCAGUCCAAAAUGGGUGGUAAAUUUCAUCUAAAGCUAAAUAUUGGCGAGAGACCGAUAGCGAACAAGUACCGUGAGGGAAAGAUGAAAAGAACUUUGAAAAGAGAGUUAAACAGUACGUGAAAUUGUCAAAAGGGAAGCGUUUGACACCAGUGUUGUUUUCUCGUAAAUCAAUUAAAAAUAGUUGGAUUUUGUGUUGUAUUGACCUUAACAGCUUGCUUCACUCUUUUCCAGCUUUUUUUAAUGCACUUUUCGUUUAACAAGUCAACAUCAGUUUCUUUUGUUGUAAAAGGGUCAUUGGAAGGUGGCUUUCUCUUCGGAGAAAGUGUUUAUAGCCUUUGAUCUCUGCAAUCGGAGAGACUGAGGUCCGCAGCGUAGAUCCUUCGGGGUUAGAUACAUUUGUGCUAAGCUACAGCUUUUCAUAGACAACUUGUUGACUAUGUUUAGUCUUGUGACUUACCCGCUUAUGCUAUUUUACCUACGCUUAGGAUGUUGAGCGCAUGUCUCUCUCU